AGAUACUCGGCUGUGUUGACAUCUCUCCAACAUGGAUUCUGUGGAUAUCGGUUUUGUUUCUGAUUUAUGAAUAUGGAAAGAAGAGGAACCGUUUGUUCAAGGAUGCUGGUAUUGCUGGUCCGGAGCCUGUGAUUUAUAUCGGGAACUUCCAUCAAAUGAUUCAGCACGGUCUGGACUUUGACAACAAGCACUUCAAACAGUAUGGUAAAGUAUUCGGGUAUGUAGAUCCGUCGGGCUUAUCUCCCCUUGGUUUAAAUCAUACAUAAACGGGAGUAUGACAGAGACUUUGAGAAUGUCAUAUGAUCGAAGUGAUUAAAGCGUUCGCUCGUCACUCUGAAGAUCCGGGUUCGAUUCCCCAUAUGGGUACAAUGUGUGAAGCCCAUUUCUGGUGUCCCCUGCUGGAAUAUCACUAAAAGCGACGUAUUACCACACUCACUGUCAUUGUAAUCCAGUCUGGACCAGACAAUCUGGUGAUCGAUA